CAUGACUGCCUCUCGGGGAGGGUUCAGAGGGUGCCACUUGGAAAACACAUGAAUUGCCCUGGGCUUUUCAGAAUGCCGAGGCCCAGAAGCUUGGCCUGCCUGGAAAAUCUCUGACUUGUUUGGUUUGCAUUUCUCUGCUGUGCUGAUGCCCAUGUGCUCAGUUCCCUGGAGGGACUGGGUGAGUACACUUUGUGAAGACACUUUGCAAAGACCUCAUUGGAAACCUUGCUUUUCCAGACAGUCGUCAGGCAACAGCUAGCAGUCCCUGAGGAAGACGUGAACAAGAAGCCAUUCACAAGCAUUCUCUUCUAGAAACCAUAUUUCAGAACAAGGAGGAAACCACAGCUCAGACGUGCGCUGGUGUUCAGCAAUGUGGGUUCACUUGGAGAGAGACAAGCACAGACUUUGCACAAUUCUACUGCCUUCCCUCUAUGAUUUCUAAGCAGUUUACUCAUGACAUCCACCACUCACUCGGGAGAUUAUUCUGGAGGAACACUGAGUGCUAAGGACAAGCCACUGGAUGAUUUGGUCAAGAAAACGGUGAUCAUAGCUAACUGGAACAAGAUGAAUCUGUGAAAAGCCUAAGUCCGUGACGAUUCUCAAAAGGGACAAGGCGUCAAGUGUGCUGGAGAAACGUCACACUGCCCAGCAUGAGUCUAUCGGCGCCCAAAGUGUCAGUAAAUGAAACUGGUAUAUGGGGAUAAGUCAUUCAUUUGUUAAAACAGGGUGAAGGUGGCUCUUAUACAUGAAGAGUCCACAGGUCGGAGGAUUUCAAUUCUUUCAGUGCUGUCUCCUUAUUGGGUCAUUCAAGUCAUUUGCUGUAGUCUGUCUGAGAUGCAAGAAAUAUUUUACCUGCUGAGUUGAUAGUUUCAAAAGUCUUGCCAUUUAGGUCUGGUACUAGAUUGCAGGAAGUGUUAGGCCUGAAGGCUAGUCAGUGGCUGGGUUGGGGACUGGGGGGACGAUGGUGGUCCUGGGGGCUGUUAUACACCCUGCACGAUGGCUCAUCUAUAAACUCAAUGCGGAAGCACGGUACAUGAUGUCUCCCGCUCUGUGGAACCAUCUGCAUGAGUUUCCCUAUCAACUGCCAACCAAGAAGCUUAACGUGCUCUGUGACUGUGGCCUGUGGUCUAUCACAUGCCUCCCCCUGGGACUACACUGACCGUACCCACCUCCAGGUUGGGUGGCGGUGUCCCCUCUGUGCUCCGGCAGCUUUCCAUGCUUAUUUUUAUCCCAACCCUUACUCUGCUGUGCUGUGUCUGUGUACACACCUCCCCUCCCAACAGACUAUGAGCUUCUGGGGGGUCUUGACAGUCAUUUGUUUUCCUCCCCCUGUUCCUUAGCAGUAGCAGGAUCUCCUUAAUAAGGUUUUAAAUGAAUCAGUACGUGAAUGAGUGAAUAAAUGAAAGAAAUAAGUUUCUACUAUUUCCUUAUGGGUUUAAACCAGCACAGGCUACCUGCUUCUUCCCAAAUGUGCCCUGUGUUUCCUUGUCUCUGAGGGGACGAUGUCUUAUGUUUCUGGAAGCCUUCCCAGUGCACACAGUAGUGUAGCAUCAAGACUGGCUGCAUAAUUUGUAUGGUCCGGUGAAAAAUGAAAAAAUGUGCAGUCACACAUUUCAAAAAUGGUUAAGAAUUUCAAACUGGUGACAGCAGAACAUUAAACCAAGCACAGGGCCCUUCUAAGCGCUGCGCCCUGUAUGACUGCACAGUCACACAUCCGUGAAGCUGGCCUGUGUUAGCAGCUGUUGUUUGCAUCAGCUGGCCACGCCCCUCCCCGUGGUAACGGCAGCUUUUGUUUCUACGUGGCUUGUAUGGGACUGAUGCCACCACUGCUACCUCGGAGGCAGGCAUGAGGUACAGGUCUGGCCAAUGAGAGCACUGCAUCCUCCUGGUCAUGAUUGGUUCAGGGAAGGGCACGUGACCCAAGCACAACCAAUGAGAGCCAUACCUCAGAAUUUUGCUGUAGGAGAAAAGGAAUAUUUUGCUGGUGCUACUAAGUCCUCCGCAAGUAAGCCUGGAGUCCUUGGGGGUUGCUAAUUGGGGAAAUCCUGGCUGACCUUGAAAAAUCACAGCUGAGAAGAUGAGGCACUGAGGGAAGAGAUUCUUGCCAGCGCCAUUUAAGCAGUUGAUUGAGCUGACCUUCUGGACUUCUCCUUUUUUCACUUGUAUAAACCACUAAAUUUCCUUCUUGGCCUAAAUCAGCUUACCUUGGGUUUCAGUCACUUGUAAUCAAAACGGUCCUGACUAAUGGGUCAUGCUUAAUAAAUACCUUUCAGUUUGAGUAAUAGACCUGCAGGGCUUGAAGGAAUCCAUUGUUUAGUUCUAUCACCCAUUCUUCGCUUGGUUCCAUUUGACUUGAGAACCAGGGCAAGAACUAGAAUAGCCCAGGGAGACUGUGACUGCAUUAUUAAAACGAGAAUUUAAUAGUAUGUUAAGAAUGUGUCUCUUACUCAUUCAUGUUCAUUGUUUUGUAUGUAGAAGGAGACAAGAAUGAGGAAUGUGGGGUGGAAGGCCUUUUUGCUUUGGAGAUUUGAAAACAAAGUUUUUACGUUAAUCAUCCUUCACUUUUAUACUAUGAAAGAAUAAUAAUAAAGUUUAUUGUUUCAAAGGA